GUGCAAAUGCAAGCAUUGUUGUGAUUGUUAUGCCUUCUGUUUCUUUGAUCCUCAGAAAAGAUAGCGAAGCGGGAGAGGCCUGUGCACUCAUUUUAAAGAGGAGGAAACCAAGUCUCGGAGCUAGCAGCGGGCGCUGGCGCUGGUCCCUUCAGGGCACCUCGCCCACCUCCACCUGUGUCUCUGUUGAUGUCUGUCCCGGUGGAGCCCUGCUGGCUGAUGCACUCAGCCCUGGGCCCUGGCGCUGCUGCAGGCUCCCCCUGCCAGGCAGCCCAACCCUGCCUGCAGGUAAUGAAGAUGGCACCUGACGAAUGUCACUCGUCAUGAGGCAGUGGCUCCCCCUGGACUGCCUCCUGCCCGAGUUCAUGAGAAGCAAUUUACUGUGUGUCAAGUGACCGCAGGAGAUCGAGGAAGGCCCCGCCCCGUGCCACCCUGGGCUUCUGGCGGAGAGGUGGGCUGCCAAGCAGGGUGACUAGCAGCCUUUGAUUACAGCUGGGAAGGAAUGGUGCCCAUGACCCAGCUAAACCGAGAACCCAGACCAGCUCUGCAGAUUCAGAGGGGCCCAGAGCCUUGCUUCCGUCACCCUCGUCGGAAGGGUGUCCUCCCCCAGACGCCUCAGCUCUAAGAGCUGAGCCAGAGCAGGGCCCCCGGCGCCUCCCAAAGCCAGCCCUGCCCUCCACGGAGCCGCCUGCUGUGCCCAGCUCAGGGGUGAGUGGACAGGCCUGGCUGCAGUGCGCUCCGAGUGAAGGCUGCAUCUUGCAGACAGAAGCUGCCAGCCGUUCACGGGGAUUGCUGGGAUGCUGAGCAUUGCUGGGGUUCACACGAUGGUGGAUUCCAGCAUUAUCGUCUCUGAACUCUCAUGUGGACGGAAAUACUUGCAGCCCUGCUCCUGCCAUCAGAGUCGAAGAGGAGCAGAAGAUGAAGUUGGAGAUAUGGUCCUUCUAUAUGAGUAAGGCUCAUUAUUGUGUCUGGCAGGCCAGAGGCGUGGGCACUGGUUAGUCACAUUCCAGCCUGAGCUUCAUCACAAGUUAGCCACUGACCGCCCACCAUGUGCCAGGCUGGGGACCCAGAGGUGGAGGGGGCACAGCCUCUGCCUUGGAAGAACACUCAGGCUAUGUGGGAGACAGACGUGCAAACUUUCGACAGUAGCACCUUGUGAUCCAAGCUGGACAGAGGGACGGUCAGGGGCUAUAACCUUAACCCUGAAGGGUGGGGAUCAUCCCGGGAGGUGGUGUUACAGCAGCUGGGUCAAGAAGGACGGCAAGGGGCCAGUGAGCCAACGGGGGAUGCGAGAGGAGGUAGGGCUGCCAGGCAGGGGACCUGCCUGGAGAGGGCCCAGGAAGUCAGAGGGGUACAGUGGUUGGCAGAGACCAGAUCACAGAGGGCCGUGGAUGUAUUGCCAAAGUCAGGGAUAGACUCCACCCAGGGGACUAGGGGAGCCCUGCGGGUCAUGGAUGGGGAGGGUCGUCUGACUUGGAUGGAUAACCCAUUUGGGGUGGGAGGUUUGGGGAAGGGGCGGGCGGGGGCAGGGUGCCCAUGGAGGCUAGUGUAGGAAGCCAGACUAAAGGUGAGUGUGGCCCGAACCAGGGUGAUAGUGACCAUGGGAACCAAGAGCAGGUGGCCCAUUGAGACUGGCUCUAGAGAAAGCAUGGAUGGCCUGGGGCAGGGAGAGGAGAGACUGGUUCUAGAGAAAGCAUGGAUGGCCUGGGGGCAGGGAGAGGAGAGACUGGUUCUAGAGAAAGCAUGGAUGGCCUGGGGGCAGGGAGAGGAGAGACUGGUUCUAGAGAAAGCAUGGAUGGCCUGGGGGCAGGGAGAGGAGAGACUGGUUCUAGAGAAAGCAUGGAUGGCCUGGGGGCAGGGAGAGGAGAGACUGGUUCUAGAGAAAGCAUGGAUGGCCUGGGGGCAGGGAGAGGACAAUCAAGGACUCCCAGGUACAAGCCGGGUCAGCAGGGUGGCGGGUGGCGCCAGCAGCUCAGCCCGGGCGAUUUCCCAUGGAGACCUGGAGCCAGAGAACGAGAGGAUGAGGAUGUGAGACAGCACCACUGAGUCUACAUCCCCGAUGGGCCCCUCAGCACGUGUGGGAGGGAAGGAGACAUUGGCGUAGCUGCGGGUAAGCCGGGCGAGGCGCGGCGGGGAGGGCGUGUAUAUCCUCUGUGGUCGCUGUGAAGGGAGACCCAAGUGAUCUGCUGAGGGGAGGGGCAGAGGGCUCAGGAGAGGAGGGAGGGGUCGAACUGGAGGUUGGGUGGGACAGGGAGAAUGACAGUUCUGAACAGCCCAGCAGCACUCAGAAGCCAGUAGCGCCCAGCAGCCGGGGUAGGCGUGGAGCAGGGGGGACCAGUGGAUUGUCGCUGGGUGGGGUCUGCCCGGAGGCUGAGAGGCAGGCCUGGGGCCCAGGUGUGCGGGUGGAGUCUGGGCCUGGUGAGGAGAGGGGGCGGCCAGGACGCACUCACAGGCCAUAAACUUUGCAAGAUCUGAAGAGAACCAUGAGAGACGCUCGUGUGGUUUAAGUCUCCAGACACUAACUGCUGUGCCAGGAUGACCUGGAUUCAACCCUCCGGGGGGCUCCACAGUCAACAGGGACCGGACCCCAAAACAGCUGCUUUAAGCACUGAGCUUGCAGCCCACCUGCCCUCCUGUGCAAGACUGGCUGUGUGGCUGGGGCGGCAGGAACAGCACACUAGUGUCUCCCUGGGCAACGCGCUUCAGGACACGAAUGCCGGGGCAGCACGGGGAGAAGAAGGAGCCCUGGACCAGGAAUCCAGGGACAUCACCCAUGGCGCACCGCCACGGUUACUCCAUCUGGGGCUCAGAUGAUCCCUGUCUGGCUCUUUGAAGCCAUUAAUGCCCACUAUGAAAGGAGCACACGCAAAAGGAGAGGACUUGUAGGCAAAGUAGGCAUAGGGUGGACUGCAAGCUCGCUCACAGGGCCGGCUAAGUAAGCCCACCCGCCAGGGCCUGGCUGGGGGUCAAUGCCGUCGGAGCGCUCGGUGGAAGGAGAAGCCCCAUGAGCUCAGAGUUGGGGAGGCGUGUCCCCCAGAUGGCUCAUCUCUGUUUCUGAUCUCAGUACAGCUCCUUAAAUGCCUCAUGGGUCGCCUUCUUAAAGACCUUGACAGCAAGCAAGUCCAGGAAAGAGGACACCCAGGGUGCACCAGGCGCCAUGCCAGGCACUGUACACAGGAGGCCCAGGAACCUCAGGAGACUCUCAUCAGCCUGUCCAUCGCUGCUGUCGGGCCACAGAGGUUUCGUUGAUGCUCCAGAUGCUUAAUUCACCCGGGCACGAUAGCAAAAUUUACACCUAAUCCUCUCUCGUUACCCGUGGAUCGCCAGUGCCCGGAGAUUCCUGGCUUUGAGACUUCGUUAUGUAUUAGUCACUGUUAGAAAGCAGUUUUUCUGACACUUUCAGUAAUAAAUCCCUUUGAUAUGAUCUAUGGUAGCUCUGCCUCAUAGCAAGUUCCAGGCUAAAGCAAGUAAUGGAAUAGCAAACUGCUCUGGAGGCAGGCAGACCUGGUUUGAAUCCUGGUUCUGUCACUAUGGUUUUACCUUACUUAAUCUUUCUGACACUCAGUUUCUUCAUCUGUAAAACGGGGAAAAGCAUAUGAGGGCAGAACCUGGUUGCCCAUCCAACAGCCAUUUCCCUCUUCAUCCUUGCUAACAACAGUGACGACAACGAAAAAUCCUGAUUUUGUUCCAGUCCCGAAGUGCGAAAUCCCAGCAGAUGCGCUGCGUUGAUCUAAACCCUGCAUUCCUGUUGUCAGUGACUGGUUUACAGGGUCUACAGGAAAGCGUGUGACCUAAUUCUGGCCAAGGAUGCUGAAGAGGAAACCUGCCAGAAGCUUCCGAGAAAGAUUUUCCUCUCUGAUAAGAGAGACCCUUGAAGAGAAGGCCCAUCUGCCUUCAUCCACUGGCUCCCUGACCCACGCUGUUUGGUGCUGUGGCAGCCGUCUCUUGAACACGAGGGGAACGAUCACUGACACACUAAAGAUGGCAGAGCAGAAGGACCGAAAGAGCCUAGGGCCUUGGGGACAACACUGAUCUAUUGAGCCGACCUUGGUCCACCUAUCUCCAGAUUUCUUGUUAACAACGUCUUUAUGGUUUAACCUAUUGCGUAUUGAGUUUUGUGUUGCUUGCAGUCAAAAACAAUCCUAACUGACACAAAUACCAACCCCACAAGAUGGUUGUAAAUAAAUGAUACAUUGUAUGUAAAGUACUUAACACAAUACCUGGCACAGUAAGUGGUUGCUAUAUAUAUAUAUUAACAACAUUUAUGAGACAUGGGUAAUGAUCUAAAAGAGCAAAAGUUUCAAAACACAACACAGAUAAAUAAGAUGAACGGUACCGAUUUAGCAUGACAAAAAAGCUUUAUAUUCUCGGUAAGGGUGAGAGGAGACACUGAGGUACAAGACUAUGAUUACAGCCUCAAAUCCUCAUAUCUGGGAGUAAGAUGUAACUAUAGGCAGAAUGUGAACGCUAUUGGAGAUGAAAGGACUGUGGUUCUUGGCCAGGUUUCCAUCCAGCCUCUUACAACAGACAAUCACCCUGUCAGCAGCUCCGAUUCAUGUCUGAAGACCAACAAUUACAUGUGAAUUACCAGCCUUGCAAAGGGGCAGAAUUCUUUCAACUCACAGAAUCUCUUUCCAGAAUACCAAAUUUUACUAGUUGUUUUUUUUUAAGAUUGGCACCUGGGCUAACAACUGUUGCCAAUCUUUUUUUUUUUUUUCUGCUUUAUCUCUCCAAAGCCCCCCUGUACACAGUUGUAUGUCUUAGUUGCAGGUCCUUCUAGUUGUGGGAUGUGGGACGCCGCCUCAACGUGGCCUGACGAGUGGUGCCAUGUCCACGCCCAGGAUCCGAACCCUGGGCCGCCACAGCCAAGCGUGCGAACUUAACCACUGGGCCACGGAGCCGGCCCCAUACUAGUAUUUUCUUAAAAAUAUGUUAUUUCUUUAUAGCAGGAAAGAUAGAUAUACUGACAUAUAUUUAAAAUAUAAUACUCAUUGAGGAAUAUGUUGUCCUAGAUAUCACCUACCAUCUCGGAGCACUGUAGCAACUCAGAGGACUAUGUAUACUUUACACAUGAGACACCAGUUUUUGAAACAACCUACUAGAACACAAAGAAAGAAUACAGUAAAAUAACAUGGGAAAAUACCUAGCUAAUAGAGGUCAUGUCAUGUAAUCAAUACUCAAAGUAAACCAGAUUUUUUUCUUCACUCUGUUUUAGCAAAGAGGCAAAUGACAAGAUUUCAAACCAACACUGAGGAUUAGACACACACACUCAUAUCCACUGCUGUCUAGGGUCAGCGCACAUCCACCCCGAAGCCCAGUGCUCUCUCCAGCGACAGUGCCGUGCGACGAGUGUUGAUUGUCAUAACUGGUGGCUCAUGAGGCUUCACAAAUCCCAGAAUUAUUAAUCGUAUUCAGCAUACAAUAAAAGAGAAGUAAUCAGACAUAUGGACAAAAAUCUGUCAAGGAUUGAAAACAAAAGGUGAUUUCUGGUUACCUUGCAGUUCAUUAAAUAAAAUCACCAAUUCCUGAACAUUUUGGUUAACUGAGAUUUUCUUGUACACUGUACACACACCUGCUUUUCUCAAAAUAUAUCUGCUCCUUUUUCUUUCUUACAAUAAAGGGCAAAACUGUUGGUGGCUC
rnacentral:lncRNA from 1 species